rnacentral:misc_RNA from 1 species
UCUGUUACAAUUUAAAAAAUUGAAGAAAAGUCUGUUAAAAUUCAUUUUUUAAGAAAUUAUUUCAAGAGUUCUCGUUGCCAGAAAUUUAACGUGAAUGGAUUUUGUGAUAUUCAGGCAAACUGACUCCUGAGUAAGAUAAAACUUUAUAAAUUCUUUCCCAUGGUUCUUUGGUAAGUUCGUUUUUUUAUUCGCUUUUAAUUAUGGAAUGCACUAUACCAUUUAAAGAAGAUGAUAAAUUCCAUUUAUGCGUUAUCUUGUCUAUUCGUUAUUUAAAAUUACAAAUGAAAAGA